rnacentral:rRNA from 1 species
AGAGUUUGAUCAUGGCUCAGAACGAACGCUGAUGGCGUGCCUCAUACAUGCAAGUCGAGCGCAUCGCAAGAUGAGCGGCGAACGGGUGAGUAACGCGUGAACAAUCUGCCUCAAAGUGGGGGAUAACCAUUCCAACGGAUGGCUAAUACCGCAUAGGGUUCAGGGAGGGCAUCCUUCCUUUACGAAAGCAUUUAUGCGCUUUGAGAUGAGUUCGCGUCCCAUUAGCUAGUUGGCGGGGUAACGGCCCACCAAGGCAACGAUGGGUAGCCGGCCUGAGAGGGUGUCCGGCCACAUUGGGACUGAGAUACGGCCCAGACUCCUACGGGAGGCAGCAGUAGGGAAUUUUGCGCAAUGGGGGAAACCCUGACGCAGCAACGCCAUGUGUGGGAUGAAGCAUUUCGGUGUGUAAACCACUGUCGGCAGGGAAUAAAGCCCACAUUUAUGUGGGGGUGAAUGUACCUGCAGAGGAAGCCCCGGCUAACUUCGUGCCAGCAGCCGCGGUAAUACGAGGGGGGCAAGUGUUGUUCGGAAUCACUGGGCGUAAAGGGAGCGUAGGCGGAUGCUUAAGUUGGAUGUUUAAAACCGGGGCCCAACCCCGGGGCGGCAUCCAAAACUGGGCGUCUUGAAUGGAACAGAGGCUAGUGGAAUUGGGGGUGUAGCGGUGGAAUGCGUAGAGAUCCCCAAGAACACCAAUUGCGAAGGCAGCUAGCUGGGUUCACAUUGACGCUGAGGCUCGAAAGCAUGGGGAGCAAACAGGAUUAGAUACCCUGGUAGUCCACGCUGUAAACGAUGACAACUAGUUAUUGUGGGUUUAACCCCUGCAGUAACAAAGCUAACGCAUUAAGUUGUCCGCCUGGGGAGUACGGUCGCAAGAUUAAAACUCAAAGGAAUUGACGGGGGCCCGCACAAGCGGUGGAUUAUGUGGUUUAAUUCGAAGCAACGCGCAGAACCUUACCUGGGCUUGAACUCCCACGAAGUCGGUAGAGAUAUCGAUGUGCUCGCAAGGGAAUGUGGUGAGAGGCGCUGCAUGGCUGUCGUCAGCUCGUGUUGUGAAAUGUUGGGUUAAGUCUCGCAACGAGCGCAACCCCUAUCCUUAGUUGCCAGCAUUAAGUUGGGCACUCUAGGGAGACUGCCUGGGUUAACCAGGAGGAAGGUGGGGAUGACGUCAAGUCCUCAUGGCCCUUAUGUCCAGGGCUACACACGUAAUACAAUGGCAGAUACAGAGGGAUGCGAACUCGCGAGGGGGAGCAAAUCCCAAAAAGUCUGUCUCAGUCCGGAUUGAAGUCUGCAACUCGACUUCGUGAAGUUGGAAUCGCUAGUAAUCGCGGAUCAGAAUGCCGCGGUGAAUACGUUCCCGGGCCUUGUACACACCGCCCGUCACACCAUGGGAGAUGGCUCAACCUGAAGCCGUGACCCUAACCGUAAGGGGGGGAGCGUCCACGGUGGGGCUGAUGACUGGGGUGAAGUCGUAACAAGGUA